rnacentral:rRNA from 1 species
GAUGAACGCUGGCGGCGUGCCUAAUACAUGCAAGUCGAGCGAACAGACGAGGAGCUUGUUCCUCUGACGUUAGCGGCGGACGGGUGAGUAACACGUGGAUAACCUACCUAUAAGACUGGGAUAACUUCGGGAAACCGGAGCUAAUACCGGAUAAUAUAUUGAACCGCAUGGUUCAAUAGUGAAAGACGGUUUUGCUGUCACUUAUAGAUGGAUCCGCGCCGCAUUAGCUAGUUGGUAAGGUAACGGCUUACCAAGGCAACGAUGCGUAGCCGACCUGAGAGGGUGAUCGGCCACACUGGAACUGAGACACGGUCCAGACUCCUACGGGAGGCAGCAGUAGGGAAUCUUCCGCAAUGGGCGAAAGCCUGACGGAGCAACGCCGCGUGAGCGAUGAAGGUCUUCGGAUCGUAAAACUCUGUUAUUAGGGAAGAACAAAUGUGUAAGUAACUAUGCACGUCUUGACGGUACCUAAUCAGAAAGCCACGGCUAACUACGUG